rnacentral:rRNA from 1 species
CGCCUCCUGCAAAAAUCAACGUAUAGGAGGUCUUGCCUGCCCAGUGACAAGUUAAACGGCCGCGGUAUUUUGACCGUGCGAAGGUAGCGCAAUCACUUGUCUUUUAAAUGAAGACCUGUAUGAAUGGUGGAACGAGGGCUUAACUGUCUCCCCUUUCAAGUCAAUGAAAUUGAUCUGCCCGUGCAGAAGCGGGCAUACAAAUACAAGACGAGAAGACCCUUUGGAACUUAAGAUACAAGAUCAACUAUGUCAAGAACCCUAAAAGUUAAACUAAAUAGCAACUGAUCCUUAUCUUCGGUUGGGGCGACCGCGGGAGAAAAUAAAGCUCCCACGCGGACUGGGGUUAAUCCCCUAAAACCAAGAAAGACAUUUCUAAGUCACAGAAUAUUUGACCACAAAGAUCCGGCUUACAACUGCCGACCAACGGACCAAGUUACCCUAGGGAUAACAGCGCAAUCCCCUUCCAGAGUCCAUAUCGACAAGGGGGUUUACGACCUCGAUGUUGGAUCAGGACAUCCUAAUGGUGCAGCCGCUAUUAAGGGUUCGUUUGUUCAACGAUUAAAGUCCU